rnacentral:rRNA from 1 species
UACGUAGGGGGGCAAGCGUUGUCCGGAUUUAUUGGGCGUAAAGAGCGUGUAGGCGGCCAUACAGGUCCGUUGUGAAAACUCGAGGCUCAACCUCGAGACGCCGAUGGAAACCGUAUGGCUAGAGUCCGGAAGAGGAGAGUGGAAUUCCUGGUGUAGCGGUGAAAUGCGCAGAGUAUCAAGGAAGAACACCCGUGGCUAAGGCGGCUCUCUGGAACGGUACUGACGCUGAGACGCGAAAGCGUGGGGAGCGAACAGG